CGUCGGAUCAUUUGAUCAAUAUACAGACAGUUGCUAGUUUCUUUCUUCUAUAUAAAUUUGUUCAGAAAAUUUUGUUCGUGCAUCUGAGUUUAUUGUUUGCCCAAAAGAAAACAUGCUUCAGUAUAGCUCAUAAAGUUCUCUACUUUUCUGUAUUUCCAGAGGUUGCAGAUGAACCUGCUAUAGAGAAGCCUGCAGCUGAGAAGCAAGGGAGCUCCAAUGACAGAGAUCUCGCUCUUGCAAGGGUGGAAACUGAGAAGAGGAACUCUUUGAUCAAAGCAUGGGAAGAGAACGAGAAGACAAAAGCUGGGAACAAGUAUGUU